CCUUCAGUGAAAACCAGUCGGUUGUGG
rnacentral:piRNA from 1 species